GAGUGGCGCUGGGUAAGCACAGCAUGCAGAGCCACUCCGCAUUGGCUUCCAGCAAACCCUAGGUCGAAAGUCCUGGACACUAUCAAAUGUUUCAAUGUCAAAACCAGAUAAAGAUUUGCAAGGGCAACCGAGACCAAAUUAGAUGUGCUUAUACAUCAGACUGCAUUCAAAAGCAUCGACCAGAGCAAUAUGCGUGGUGUGGUGUUGAAGGUGGUGCUCGGUUUGACAGUAAUUCCAGUUCGAGGGGCUCUACCACCCACUUCUCAACUCAGAGCACGAACAUGAAUAUUUAUGAGGAGACACAGCUGCUGGAGUUAAAAGCACAAAGACUGUUUAAGUCAGUGCAGUGCUGUGCUCUUCGCAAAAGCUUGCCUCAGCAAAAGCUUGCCACCUAUACCCCAAUGGCAGAUCUAAACCAAGGAAACCCACUCUUCAGAAAUAAAGGUUCAUAGUUCUGAUGGACACUUGAAAG
rnacentral:lncRNA from 1 species